rnacentral:rRNA from 1 species
UACGAAGGGGGCUAGCGUUGCUCGGAAUUACUGGGCGUAAAGCGCACGUAGGCGGCUUUCUAAGUCGGGGGUGAAAUCCUGGAGCUCAACUCCAGAACUGCCUUCGAUACUGGAGAGCUUGAGUCCGGGAGAGGUGAGUGGAACUGCGAGUGUAGAGGUGAAAUUCGUAGAUAUUCGGAAGAACACCAGUGGCGAAGGCGGCUUACUGGUCCGGUACUGACGCUGAGGUGCGAAAGCGUGGGGAGCAAACAGG